rnacentral:rRNA from 1 species
AAACGAUACUCGCUAGGUGUCGGCCACGGUGCGACCGUUGUCGGUGCCGUAGGGAAGCCGUGAAGCGAGCCACCUGGGAAGUACGGCCGCAAGGCUGAAACUUAAAGGAAUUGGCGGGGGAGCACCACAACGGGUGGAGCUUGCGGUUUAAUUGGAUUCAACGCCGGAAAUCUUACCGGGACCGACAGCAAUAUGAAGGCCAGGCUGAAGACUUUGCCGGAUUAGCUGAGAGGUGGUGCAUGGCCGU